rnacentral:rRNA from 1 species
CAGUCUCAGUUCGGAUCGCAGGCUGCAACUCGCCUGCGUGAAGUUGGAAUUGCUAGUAAUCGCGGAUCAGCAUGCCGCGGUGAAUGCGUUCCCGGGUCUUGUACACACCGCCCGUCACACCACGGAAGUUGGGGGCGCCCGAAGCCACUUAGCUAACCCAUUUGGGAAGCGAGUGUCGAAGGUGAAAUCAAUAACUGGGGUGAAGUCGUAACAAGGUAAC